UCCGGUUUGUCACCGGCAGUCUCGCAUGAGUCCCCAACUAAAUGCUGGCAACAUGCGACGGGGGUUGCGCUCGUUGCGGGACUUAACCCAACAUCUCACGACACGAGCUGACGACAACCAUGCACCACCUGUCACCACUGUCCCCGAAGGGAAAGCCAUGUCUCCAUAGCGGUCAAUGGGAUGUCAAGACCUGGUAAGGUUCUUCGCGUUGCUUCGAAUUAAACCACAUGCUCCACCGCUUGUGCGGGCCCCCGUCAAUUCCUUUGAGUUUCAGUCUUGCGACCGUACUCCCCAGGCGGGGCGCUUAAUGCGUUAGCUGCGGCACGGAACUCGUGGAAUGAGCCCCACACCUAGCGCCCAACGUUUACGGCGUGGACUAC
rnacentral:misc_RNA from 1 species